UUUGAAUUCAGUCUAGCAACAGUCCGAAAGAGACAGAGCUCUUUAAUAUUUUUUUUGUCAAAUUUCCAGCUUCAGGAUGUUUAUUCGUCCGAUUCAAAGAGAGCAUUCACACGAUAUGGUCCUGGGCUGCGGCUGGUCGUGGGGUUCGGUGAGCGGAUCCUGGAACGUCAGAGGUUAAAUGACGAAGGAAACAUGCAAUGAGUCAUAAAUAAAUUUUAAUUACUUACGUAAAUUCAUGCAGGUUGCGAAAUCACUUAAAUAAUAAUAAAUGUCAUCAAUUAAUAAUGCAA